GCCGAGAUGGCGCAACCUGGUACCGCGCAAGCCUGGAAAGCUUGUUUCCGAAAGGAUUUCUGGGUUCAAAUCCCAGCCUCGGCG
rnacentral:tRNA from 1 species